UCAGCAGCCCCGCGUAAUACGGAGGGUGCAAGCGUUAAUCGGAAUUACUGGGCGUAAAGCGCACGCAGGCGGCUUUUUAAGUCGGAUGUGAAAGCCCCGGGCUCAACCUGGGAAUUGCAUCUGAUACUGGGAAGCUAGAGUAUGUGAGAGGGGGGUAGAAUUCCAAGUGUAGCGGUGAAAUGCGUAGAGAUUUGGAGGAAUACCAGUGGCGAAGGCGGCCCCCUGGCACAAUACUGACGCUCAGGUGCGAAAGCGUGGGGAGCAAACAGGAUUAGAUACCCUGGUAGUCCACGCCGUAAACGAUGUCUACUAGAUGUUCGUGGUCUUGUACCGUGAGUAUCGCAGCUAACGCAUUAAGUAGACCGCCUGGGGAGUACGGUCGCAAGAUUAAAACUCAAAGGAAAAUUGACGG
rnacentral:rRNA from 1 species